AACGCACAUUGCGCUCCCUGGUAUUCCGGAGAGCAUGCCUGUUUGAGAAUCAGUAAAAUCUUCAACUUCUAUGUUUGAUGGCUUUCGGGCCAAAAAACAUAAAAGGUGAGAUCUGGGUCGUUUGCCUUUGCGGCAAUGACUUUAAUUGCAACGUCUCAGAACCAAUGACUGAAAUGUCUUGGGCAAACGCAUGAAUGAGGCAACUCACAAGUACGUCUGUUCCUUUUGACAGGGAUGUUUUGGUGCUGAGACUCAACUGAUUAACCAAAGUUGGGUUGCGGUAGCAGCUUUUCUUUGAACACUUGGUCUCAAAUCAGGUAGGAAAACCCGCUGAACUUAA
rnacentral:misc_RNA from 1 species